AUGCGGCCCCCCACCCGCAGCGAGUUCGGCUUCUCCGUCGCCGGCAAGCGCAAGCGCUCGCCGGAGUUCCCCUGCGUGUCGCGCUUCCGGCAGCGGCGGCUCAUCUCCUUCCUCGGGCACCACAACUUCAACCGCACCGUGGAUGUGUUGGUGACCCAGACGGACGUGUUCCUGUGCCUGAAGCACCUGGCCGAGCUGGUGGACGCGGGCUCCUGGGACAAGGCCAUCGACUACCUCUCCCGCUUCCUGCCGUCCGACCGCCCGCUCGGCGUCCACGGCCGCGCCCUCUUCCACUACCUCCGCGUGCACAAGGCCAUCGACGACGUGCUCGCCGGAGCCCCGGAGGCCCGCUCCGUCACCACCGCCCUCGACCAGUGCAUCAUCCGCCACCCCACCAAGAGCCACGCCCUCACCAGGCUCCGCGCCAUCUUCUCCUCCCUCCUCUGCUCCAAGAGAUACAGGGCUGUCCUGGACAUAGGGCGCGUGAGGCACAAGGCUAAACUGACUAUCGUCGACUUGGUUUGUAAGACUCCAGAGUUGAAAGACCAUAUGCGACCCGCCCGCGGCUCAAUGGAACCCCAGAACGUGCUUCCCAUUGGCUUCGGCUACGCUUGUUUCCGUCCGAGGCGCCACGUGAAGAAACGAGGCGGCCGGAUCCCGGCGUCUGUGCUUGGCAGGCUUUAUCUUGAGAAGAAGAAGAACAUGCUGCCUUCUUUGACUUCAGACGAUCACUCCCAGGGGUUAACUCGUGAGUCACUAAUUAAGGCGAAGGAAUGGCUUGUGGAUCUUGUUGAGAUAAGUUUGGAAGCCGGCAAGAUGAGUGAAGCGGAACUGACUCAAUCAGCCUCUAACAAAGGUGGUCCGGUUACUCCAGUCUCACGGACUAAUCUUGCUACCUUCAAAGUGGUUACUAAUCGUACAUUAUUCCGCAAGGCAAAAGAAUGGAUGGUAUAUUUUACAGAGGAAUGUUUGAAAGCUUGGCCAGACGCGAGUCAAGAUGAUCUUCCUCAACUUUUCUGCAAGGAUGGUGAUCCUGAUGGCACAGUCCCCCGUACAGUGCCUGGUAGCUUGACUAGUCUUGCUGAAAAUUCAGCGAUUGCAUCAGUCAAAAAGCCAGAUGCUCUAUUCUCGCAAACCAUGCUUGGUACCUUGACAAAUCCUGCUGAAGACUCUGGGAUGUCAUCAGUGACAAAUGCAGGUGCAUAUAAACCUUUGAGUGAAGAAUACUUUUCCAGUUCAAGGAAGAAUCCAAGGAUGGAACUGGCAACUAUUAGGCAAGAUUUUGAUCCAAAAAGGCGACGGACAACUCUGACUUCGCAGAUUGAAACCGGAACUGAAGAUCAGCAAGCAACAUGA
rnacentral:rRNA from 1 species